rnacentral:rRNA from 1 species
CCAGAGAACUUUCCAGAGAUGGAUUGGUGCCUUCGGGGAACUCUGAGACAGGUGCUGCAUGGCUGUCGUCAGCUCGUGUUGUGAAAUGUUGGGUUAAGUCCCGCAACGAGCGCAACCCUUAUCCUUUGUUGCCAGCGGUUAGGCCGGGAACUCAAAGGAGACUGCCAGUGAUAAACUGGAGGAAGGUGGGGAUGACGUCAAGUCAUCAUGGCCCUUACGAGUAGGGCUACACACGUGCUACAAUGGCGCAUACAAAGAGAAGCGACCUCGCGAGAGCAAGCGGACCUCAUAAAGUGCGUCGUAGUCCGGAUUGGAGUCUGCAACUCGACUCCAUGAAGUCGGAAUCGCUAGUAAUCGUGGAUCAGAAUGCCACGGUGAAUACGUUCCCGGGCCUUGUACACACCGCCCGUCACACCAUGGGAGUGGGUUGCAAAAGAAGUAGGUAGCUUAACCUUCGGGAGGGCGCUUACCACUUUGUGAUUCAUGACUGGGGUGAAGUCGUAACAAGGUAAGCGUAGUGCU